rnacentral:rRNA from 1 species
UACAGAGGUCUCAAGCGUUGUUCGGAUUCAUUGGGCGUAAAGGGUGCGUAGGCGGCGCGGUAAGUCGGGUGUGAAAUCUCGGAGCUUAACUCCGAAACUGCAUUCGAUACUGCCGUGCUUGAGGACUGGAGAGGAGACUGGUAUUUACGGUGUAGCGGUGAAAUGCGUAGAUAUCGUAAGGAAGACCAGUGGCGAAGGCGGGUCUCUGGACAGUUCCUGACGCUGAGGCACGAAGGUCAGGGGAGCAAACGGG